rnacentral:rRNA from 1 species
UACGGAGGAUGCAAGCGUUAUCCGGAAUGAUUGGCGUAAAGCGUCCGCAGGUUGCUGUGUCAGUCUGCUGUUAAAUAGUGAGGCUCAACCUCAUAAAGGCAGUGGAAACUACACGGCUAGAGUGCGUUCGGGGCAGAGGGAAUUCCUGGUGUAGCGGUGAAAUGCGUAGAGAUCAGGAAGAACACCGGUGGCGAAAGCGCUCUGCUAGGCCGCAACUGACACUGAGGGACGAAAGCUAGGGGAGCGAAUGGG